AUUGAACGCUGGCGGCAGGCUUAACACAUGCAAGUCGAGCGGAGCGAGGGUGCUUGCACCUUAGCUUAGCGGCGGACGGGUGAGUAAUGCUUAGGAAUCUGCCUAUUAGUGGGGGACAACAUUCCGAAAGGAAUGCUAAUACCGCAUACGCCCUACGGGGGAAAGCAGGGGAUCUUCGGACCUUGCGCUAAUAGAUGAGCCUAAGUCGGAUUAGCUAGUUGGUGGGGUAAAGGCCUACCAAGGCGACGAUCUGUAGCGGGUCUGAGAGGAUGAUCCGCCACACUGGGACUGAGACACGGCCCAGACUCCUACGGGAGGCAGCAGUGGGGAAUACUGGACAAUGGGCGGAAGCCUGAUCCAGCCAUGCCGCGUGUGUGAAGAAGGCCUUUUGGUUGUAAAGCACUUUAAGCGAGGAGGAGGCUCUUAAGGUUAAUACCCUUGAUGAGUGGACGUUACUCGCAGAAUAAGCACCGGCUAACUCUGUGCCAGCCGCCGCGGUAACAC
rnacentral:rRNA from 1 species